UACGUAGGGGGCAAGCGUUGUCCGGAAUCAUUGGGCGUAAAGAGCGUGUAGGCGGUUCGGUAAGUCGGCUGUGAAAGUCCAGGGCUCAACCCUGGGAUGCCGGUCGAUACUGCCGGACUAGAGUUCGGAAGAGGCGAGUGGAAUUCCCGGUGUAGCGGUGAAAUGCGCAGAUAUCGGGAGGAACACCUAUGGCGAAGGCAGCUCGCUGGGACGUUACUGACGCUGAGACGCGAAAGCG
rnacentral:rRNA from 1 species